rnacentral:rRNA from 1 species
AGAGUUUGAUCCUGGCUCAGGACGAACGCUGGCGGCGCGCUUAAUGCAUGCAAGUCGAACGAGGUACGGACCUUCGGGUCCUAUGCCGAGUGGCGGACGGCUGAGUAACGCGUGAGUGACCUGCCCUCAAGUGGGGGACAACACCGAGAAAUCGGUGCUAAUACCGCAUAAUCUCCACUCCUUAGCGGGAGUAGAGGAAAGGCUAUAUGCCACUUUUGGAGGGGCUCGCGUUCUAUCAGGUAGUUGGUGAGGUAAUGGCUCACCAAGCCAUCGACGGAUAGCCGGAGUGAGAGCUCGAUCGGCCAGAGGGGGACUGAGACACGGCCCCCACUCCUACGGGAGGCAGCAGCAGGGAAUCUUGCACAAUGGGCGAAAGCCUGAUGCAGCGACGCCGCGUGAGGGAAGAAGGCUCUAGGGUCGUAAACCUCUUUUCUAAAGGAAGAGAAUGGACGGUACUUUAGGAAUAAGCCACGGCUAACUACGUGCCAGCAGCCGCGGUAAUACGUAGGUGGCAAGCGUUGUCCGGAAUUACUGGGCGUAAAGGGCCUGUAGGCGGCAUGGUAAGUCCGUAGUGAAAUCUCCCGGCUUAACUGGGAGCGUGCUAUGGAUACUGCCAAGCUAGAGAUCAUCAGAGGAGAGCGGAAUUCCCGGUGUAGUGGUGAAAUGCGUAGAUAUCGGGAGGAACACCAGUGGCGAAAGCGGCUCUCUGGGGUGGUUCUGACGCUGAGGGGCGAAAGCGUGGGGAGCAAACCGGAUUAGAUACCCGGGUAGUCCACGCCCUAAACGAUGAAUUCUAAGUCUCCGGGGUAUCCACCCCCUGUGGGCUGCAGUUAACGCGUUAAGCAUUCCGCCUGGGGACUACGGCCGCAAGGCUA